AUACGGAGGGUGCAAGCGUUACUCGGAAUCACUGGGCGGAAAGGAUGCGUAGGCUGGAUGUCAAGUUGGAAGUGAAAUCCUAUGGCUUAACCAUAGAACUGCUUCCAAAACUGGCAACCUAGAGUGAGGGAGAGGCAGAUGGAAUUAGUGGUGUAGGGGUAAAAUCCGUAGAUAUCACUAGGAAUACCGAUUGCGAAGGCGAUCUGCUAGAACUCUACUGACGCUAAGGCAUGAAAGCGUGGGGAGCAAACAGGAUUAGAUACCCUAGUAGUCC
rnacentral:rRNA from 1 species